AGUGGCGGACGGGUGAGUAACGCGUGAGAAUCUGCCUUGGGGUCGGGGACAACCACUGGAAACGGUGGCUAAUACCGGAUACGCCUUCGGGUAAAAGAUUUAUUGCCCUAAGAGGAGCUCGCGUCUGAUUAGCUAGUUGGUGAGGUAAGAGCUCACCAAGGCAGCGAUCAGUAGCUGGUCUGAGAGGACGAUCAGCCACACUGGGACUGAGACACGGCCCAGACUCCUACGGGAGGCAGCAGUGGGGAAUUUUCCGCAAUGGGCGAAAGCCUGACGGAGCAAGACCGCGUGAGGGAGGAAGGCUCUUGGGUUGUAAACCUCUUUUCUCAGGGAAGAAGCUCUGACGGUACCUGAGGAAUCAGCCUCGGCUAACUCCGUGCCAGCAGCCGCGGUAAUACGGAGGAGGCAAGCGUUAUCCGGAAUUAUUGGGCGUAAAGCGUCCGCAGGUGGCGAUUCAAGUCUGCUGUCAAAGCACGGGGCUUAACUCCGUAAAGGCAGUGGAAACUGAAUAGCUAGAGUGCCGUAGGGGUAGAGGGAAUUCCCGGUGUAGCGGUGAAAUGCGUAGAGAUCGGGAAGAACAUCGGUGGCGAAAGCGCUCUACUGGACGGCAACUGACACUCAGGGACGAAAGCUAGGGUAGCGAAUGGGAUUAGAUACCCC
rnacentral:rRNA from 1 species